CCUACGGGUGGCUGCAGUGGGGUAUAUUGCACAAUGGGGGAAACCCUGAUGCAGCGACGCCGCGUGGGCGAAGAAGUAUUUCGGUAUGUAAAGCCCUAUCAGCAGGGAAGAAGAAAUGACGGUACCUGAGUAAGAAGCACCGGCUAAAUACGUGCCAGCAGCCGCGGUAAUACGUAUGGUGCAAGCGUUAUCCGGAUUUACUGGGUGUAAAGGGAGCGCAGGCGGCACGGCAAGCCUGGUGUGAAAGCCCGCGGGCCAACCGCGGGACUGCAUUUGGAACUACCGGGCUGGAGUGCCGGAGAGGUAAGCGGAAUUCCUAGUGGAGCGGGUAAAUGCGGAGAUAUUAGGGGGAACACC
rnacentral:rRNA from 1 species